rnacentral:rRNA from 1 species
CAGUAGCCGCGGUAAUACGAAGGGGGCUAGCGUUGUUCGGAAUUACUGGGCGUAAAGCGCACGUAGGCGGACAUUUAAGUCAGGGGUGAAAUCCCGGGGCUCAACCCCGGAACUGCCUUUGAUACUGGGUGUCUAGAGUAUGGAAGAGGUGAGUGGAAUUCCGAGUGUAGAGGUGAAAUUCGUAGAUAUUCGGAGGAACACCAGUGGCGAAGGCGGCUCACUGGUCCAUUACUGACGCUGAGGUGCGAAAGCGUGGGGAGCAAACAGGAUUAGAUACCCUGUAGUCCCUGUCUCUUAUACA